AAACUUAAAGGAAUUGGCGGGGGAGCACCACAAGGGGUGAAGCCUGCGGUUCAAUUGGACUCAACCCCGGGAAACUUACCGGGGGCGACAGCAGAAUGAAGGUCAGGUUGACGACCUUACCAGACAAGCUGAGCGGAGGUGCAUGGCCGUCGCCAGUUCGUGCCGUGAGGUAUCCUGUUAAGUCAGGCAACGAACGAGACCCACACACUUAGUUGCCAACGAAAGCCUACGGGUUUGUCGGGAACGCUAAGUGGACCGCCACCAUAUAGGUGGAGGAAGGAGUGGGCCACGGCAGGUCAGUAUGCCCCUAAUCCCCCGGGCCACACGCGGGCUGCAAUGGUAUGGACAAUGGGUAGCGACUCUGAAAAGAGAAGCCAAUCUCGAAACCAUAUCUCAGUUGGGAUUGAUGGCUGUAACUCGCCGUCAUGAACGUGGAAUCCCUAGUAAUCGUGUGUCAUCAUCGCACGGUGAAUACGUCUCUGCUCCUUGCACACACCGCCCGU
rnacentral:rRNA from 1 species